AACGAACGCUGGCGGCAUGCCUAACACAUGCAAGUCGAACGAGACCUUCGGGUCUAGUGGCGCACGGGUGCGUAACGCGUGGGAACCUGCCCUUAGGUUCGGAAUAACUCCCCGAAAGGGGUGCUAAUACCGGAUAAUGUCUUCGGACCAAAGAUUUAUCGCCUUUGGAUGGGCCCGCGUUGGAUUAGCUAGUUGGUAGGGUAAAAGCCUACCAAGGCGACGAUCCAUAGCUGGUCUGAGAGGAUGAUCAGCCACACUGGGACUGAGACCCGGCCCAGACUCCUACGGGAGGCAGCAGUGGGGAAUAUUGGACGAUGGGCGAAAGCCUGAUACAGCCAUGCCGCGUGAGUGAUGAAGGCCUUAGGGUUGUAAAGCUCUUUUACCCGGGAUGAUAAUGACAGUACCGGGAGAAUAAGCUCCGGCUAACUCCGUG
rnacentral:rRNA from 1 species